GAAUCUGCCUUCGGGUUGGGGACAACCACUGGAAACGGUGGCUAAUACCCAAUGUGCCGCAACGUGAAAGAUUUAUCGCCCGAAGAUGAGCUCGCGUCUGAUUAGCUAGUUGGUGGGGUAAAGGCUCACCAAGGCAACGAUCAGUAGCUGGUCUGAGAGGAUGACCAGCCACACUGGGACUGAGACACGGCCCAGACUCCUACGGGAGGCAGCAGUGGGGAAUUUUCCGCAAUGGGCGAAAGCCUGACGGAGCAAGACCGCGUGAGGGAGGAAGGCCCUUGGGUUGUAAACCUCUUUUGUCAGGGAAGAACACAAUGACGGUACCUGACGAAUCAGCCUCGGCUAACUCCGUGCCAGCAGCCGCGGUAAUACGGAGGAGGCAAGCGUUAUCCGGAAUUAUUGGGCGUAAAGCGUCCGCAGGUGGCUUAUCAAGUCUGCCGUCAAAGACCGGGGCUUAACCCUGGAAAGGCGGUGGAAACUGACAAGCUAGAGUGCCGUAGGGGUAGAGGGAAUUCCCGGUGUAGCGGUGGAAUGCGUAGAGCUCGGGAAGAACAUCGGUGGCGAAAGCGCUCUACUGGACGGCAACUGACACUCAGGGACGAAAGCUAGGGGAGCG
rnacentral:rRNA from 1 species